rnacentral:lncRNA from 1 species
CUGCAUUCCCCUUCCAGCACCAGCCCUUCCAGACACGACAGAGAUAAGAAAGUACAUGCUUGGUGCUAGAUCUGUCUCUGAAAAGAGCAGGACAGUUUCACAGCACAUGCUUUGUGAUGGGGGUCAGCCCUGUCAUGAGGCAAAGUGAGGCAGAGACCUCAGACGACCGAUGCUGGCGACAAGGCAAAGGAGUAGGUACAGAGUUGGAUGCGUCAUGCGGCCUAUUCUGCACCCCCAAGGCUAGCCUGGUACCCUCAGUUUUGGAGUAGUGUGCGCUCCUGUUACCAAUAUUAAACUAUCAGUCUGGUUGCCUUCUGUAUUAGCUGGGAAGGUGCUAAUUUGUCCUUGGCUUCAGGCAGCAAAAUACCCAUGACCAGCACUUUCCAUUAAAAGCAUUCCUGUUAAAUGAGUAACAAAGAAUAAACUCAUAAUAGUGACACCCAUAUCUUUUAGCAUUUAACCUUAUCUCUGUGCUGCUUACAUUACCUAAUUAACACCCAUAAGUCACAAUGAUUAAUAAUAAUAAUAAUAAUAAAUUUUUAUUUAUAUCCCGCCCUCCCCAGCCGAAGCUGGGCUCAGGGCAGCUAACAACAAUCAAAAUAAUCCAACAUUCUAAAAACAUUCAUUAUAAAAUUAAUUAAAAUCAAAUUGAUGGCAACCAUUAAGCAAAAUUCUGUGCAGAUUGCCAGAGGAGGGGGUCAGUCUGCGCCCUGACCAAAGGCCUGGUGGAACAGCUCUGUCUUGCAGACCCUGUGGAAAGAUGUCAGGUCCCGCAGGGCCCUAGUCUCUUGUGACAGAGCGUUCCACAGAUUAUUAACAACCGUUCAAUUAUUAAUUUAAUCAAUUAAUAUUAUUAUUAAUAAAUGAGUACAAUGUUUAAUACCAGAAGAUAUGAGGGUUGUCAAUAUGAGAUAUCAUUCUGUAUUACAAAGCUAAUGUGUAGGUAAAUGUCAACCAUAUGCAGCCACACAGUCCUCUGACUGUCAUCUUAUCAGUACUAGUAUCAGGAACCUUAGAGCAAUGAGAAAAAAUAUCUGAAAGAGCAGCUAUGUACAGUGGUGCCUCGCAAGACGAAAUUAAUCCGUUCCGCAAGAGUCUUCGUCUAGCGGUUUUUUCGUCUUGCGAAGCAAGCCCAUUGACGGAUUAGCGCUAUUAGCGCUAUCAGCUGUUUAGCGGCUAUUAAAGGCUUAAAGGAUUAGCUGCUAAAAGGCUAUUAAAGGCUAUUAAAGGCUUAGCAGAUUAGAUAAAGGGGGGGAAAAGCGAAAAAAAAAUCUCUAGACUCGCAAGACAUUUUCGUCUUGCGAAGCAAGCCCAUAGGGGAAUUCGUCCUGCGAAGCAACUUCAAAACGGAAAACCCUUUCGUCUAGCGGUUUUUCCGUCUUGCGAGGCAUUCGUCUUGCGGGGCACCACUGUAUGGGCUGGCUCUGAACAAGAAAUCAGCAGAUCCAUACAGUGGUGUGAAUAAGCUCUGGGACUGCUGGAGUACUGUGCACUCUUCCUUGGAACUCAGUGGGACUACAUUUGAGUAAACCUACAGAGAAUUAGGCCAUUCAUCUGUCACAUCUUGUGAAUGGUUCAGCCAGCGUGUAACCAUGCUGCACAUCACCACUCCUAUGGUUAGAGCUUUUUAUAGUAAGAGAUAGUAUUUUGAGUUAUAAACACAGGAUGAAAUCCAAUGCCCAUCUGCCAGUGGAAUGAACUUCUCCUUGUGUGACAAGAUUCCCCUUUACUCUACUCCCCCUCCUCCUGUAGCUCACCAUGCGCCCCAAAGCUUCUAAGGGUUGGGGAACCAUCCAGAGCAGAUCUGGGGGCAUGAGGAGCCUCAGAGAGAAAAGAGGAAGGGUAUGUUUUCUUGAACAACAUUGGAUAUCACCCAUGGCAUAUUUGUAAGAUCAAUUCAUUCCGCCAAAAUCACUGGAAAAAGUUAUGUUGAUUGUGCUGUAUUAAAACUUGUUGUGCAAAACGGCCCUUGAUCACGGCUUUACGAGAAAACAGCUCAGUCACACUCCUCUCGAAGAGUUUAAACACAUAUUGCAGCUUUUGAGGAAGGAACAUUUACUUGAAAAUCUUUCAUCAGAAUUUUGAGAAACACUGAUUCAGAAACACGUCACUCAAUUAUGCAAUACUUACUUAGGAAACUAAAAAGACACUUUCCUGAACCCUAAGUUCUCAAGUACACACUUUGAAUACAAAAUUAUGCUUGAAAUUGCUAAAUAGAAGUAAGGAAAAACAAGAUAGAUUCAUACAAAAACAAUGGCUUCAAUGAUACUCCAUUAUAAAAAAAACAAAUCUUGAUACUAGGGAUAAGGAACCUCAGAUCCAGGCCCAGAGGCAGCUCUCCAGGCCUCUAUGUGCCUGAGAAACUCCUUUCGGCCACCCCAAGUGUGUCAACUUGAAUAAAAUAGGGAGAGCAGGCAAUCACAUGAUGUGGUGCAUGCAUGCCCUUUGAAUGACAGUGCCCAUCAACUUUGGAGGGGCCUGGUCCCCUCAAAUAUUUUAGGAGGGGCUGAAGGGACUUUGGCCCUUAGAAGUUGGCUCCUAUGGGCAAAGCAGGGCAACAACUGAAUGGACUGCUGUGUCUUUUACUUGUAUGAGAAUGUAUGCCUUACUUGUAUGGACUGGCACAUCUUGUAAGGAGAUGUAUAUUUUUACCUGUCUCUUUGAUUAGAGGUAUUAUAGGUUAAUAUGGAAACCUAGCAAAUACUUUGCUUUGCUUAAGGUGAAUAUUUCUAUGGACUAAUGCAUAUUACAUGGGCAUGCUUAUUUUUUCCUGUCUGUUAUAUAUCUUCCUUGUUUGUUCAUUGUGGAUUAUAGGACUAACCAGCUAAACCCUGAAGCUCAAAUAUCAAGGCAGUGAAAAACUUCAUUGCAGAAGAAGCAUUUGGCAGGAUGGUUCUUUUUUUUUUUUUUUUAGUCUGUGGUGCAGCAUUAAUUUAUGUGGCCCACUGGGAGGAGCAUGACUGACAUAGGGAGCCUAUAAAAACAAAUUGUGCAGUGCCACAAAUCCAACUCAAUGGUGUAACAUUGAAAAAUGUCGAUCACUUCUCCUACCUAGGCAGUUUCUUUCCACAAGGGCCAACACUGAUGCCAAAAUCUAGCAUCGCCUGAGCUCUGCGAGUGCAGCUUUCUCCCGAUUGAAGUGCAGAGUGUUUGAGGACAUUCGCAGGGAAACCAAAAUGCUUGUUUACAAAGCUAUUAUACUACCAACCUUACUAUAUGCCUGUGAAACAUGGACCACUUAUAAACGCUAUCUCAAACUCCUCGAAAGAUUCCAUCAACGGUGUCUCCGAAAAAUUUUACACAUCACUUGGGAAGACAGGCGAACUAAUAUCAGUGUACUGGAAGAACCAAAGAUUACCAGUGUUGAAGCAAUGAUUCUUCAACAUCAACUUCGUUGGACUGGUCAUGUUGUGCAGAUGCCUGAUGAUUGUCUUCCAAAGCAACUACUCUAUUCCGAACUUAAAAAUGGAAAGCGAAAUGCUGGUGGUCAACAAAAGAGGUUUAAAGACUGUCUUAAGGCAAAUCUUUAAAAAUGUAGUAUAAACACUGACAACUGGGAAACACUGGCCUGCGAACGCUCCACUUGGAGAACAGCCUUUUCCAAAGGUGCCAUGGGCUUUGAAGACACUCGAACUCAGGACGCAAGGAAGAAACGUGCUAAGAGGAUCGAACCUGGGAUUUCCUUUGUGCAAGGCAGAUGCUCUGCCUCUGGGGUGGGGGGAGGAAGAGUAGAUUUGUUGUGUAAGAAUGCCAAAUCCACUUUAAUUGCACAACCUAAUUACUGGUAUGCAACUGUAUUCCACCAGCAAAACAGUGACAGUCUGGAGGCAGCCAAUAAUAUAUAAAGUCAACCAGAUAUCUUCUACCCUCCACUCUGUAGAUAGCUAGGGAUGGUUGCAGUUAUAUUUUCAGGUAAAGGCUAGACUGAUAGGCCUUUAUUGGACAUUCAGCAAACAGCCUUUUGUUCAGCAUCUAGUAACAGGCUAGGAAAUACUUGGAAAUAGAGGACUAGUUUGUUUGACAGGAUCACAUGGCCCAUAGCUCUUGGGUCUCAUGUUCAGAAACAUAGAGGAAAAUAAGUAGCAAUACUUAAACAUAUAUGUCCUCCAGUUAUUCACUGGCCCAGUUGUACACGUCAUACCAUGCCAUCAAGAACAAAUUUGACCCGUGUUUGAAAUCUGAUUGUUCCCUUAACAUUAUUUCCUUUUUUUUCUUUUUCUUUUUUGCAUGGUGCUAGGAUCAGACACCUGGAUUGGGCAUGUUUAUAUCAGUCUCACAGAUGCACAAUUAAAACCCUGUUGUUUGCAACUGAAAAGAGGUACCUGCACUACCGAGACUGUAAAUUAAAGGAAAUGCAGACAAGACGGCACUCAUAUAUUCAACAUGCUCUUUACUGAAAGAAUCUUCAGAGCUAUAUUUAGCACAAACUUGUUUCGUGUGAAUUCCCAGAUUCUGUGAUUGGAGCCAUGCCCCAGGGUCGUUUCAACCCCUGAGAAAGAAAGUACAGGAUGCAGUGUUUGCUCUUCGUUCAACAUACAAUAUGCAGUUUUGUUGAUACUGUGUGAGAAGACGGAAGAUGUUCAUCGCACACAAAUGUACAGUUUUUAGCCUGCUGGAUUGCAGAUCAAAAGGUUAAAGAGAGGAUUUAUUAAGAAUGAGUAGUGACAAUUUAAAUAAAUCAGAUGUUUUUGCCAAAGA